rnacentral:rRNA from 1 species
UACAUGGGGUGCAAACGUUGCUCGGAAUUAUUGGGCGUAAAGCGCGCGUAGGCGGUUACUUAAGUCGGAUGUGAAAUCCCUCGGCUUAACCGGGGAACUGCGCUUGAUACUGGAUGGCUUGAGAUUGGGAGAGGGAUGCGGAAUUCCAGGUGUAGCGGUGAAAUGCGUAGAUAUCUGGAGGAACACCGGUGGCGAAGGCGGCAUCCUGGACCAACACUGACGCUGAAUAGCGAAAGCCAGGGGAGCAAACGGG